UUGGUGAGUGUGUGUGUGUGUGUGUGUGUGUGUGUGUGUGUGUGUGUGUGUGUGUGGUCCUGUUUAACUAUAUUCAUGGGGUCC